rnacentral:lncRNA from 1 species
GGUUCCUCUUAUCCAGUAUCAAUCACUGUAGCUAAAUAUCCUCUACAUUCCUUUAUCAUCAUCUGUUUAGCUUGCAGGGCUAAGAUUAUAUGUAGAGGAGUAACUCCUAUGCUUUCCAUAAAAUUAAAUUCUAGUUCAUUAGAAAUUUUGAAAUUCACACAUUUCUUAUGGCAGUGUAUUGAGGCAUGAUAAGUGGCAAGCCAAUCCAUCCAUAGUAUCACAUCAAAAUCUUGCAUAUCUAAUAGUAUUAAAUCAGCAAGCAGCACUUUAUUUCCUAUUUUGACUUUACAAGAUUUAUGUAUAGCUAUAGUGUGAGUACAUACCUCCUACUGGUGUCUGAAUACAUAGUUUAGUUUCAAUCCCUAUAGGUUCAUAUAAUAUACUACAUUUCUU